UCCAUAUUAUGACGUCAGCGCAAAGACAGGUGACAAUGUCAAGGAGGCAUUUGAGACCUUCAUCCGUGAGACCUGGCGGAAUAUACAACCGAAUUCGGACGCGGGAUUUGAGAGAUCUAUCCACAUUGAAGAAACCGAUGGAGAGAACAAAGAAAGGUGUUGUACUAGCUGACGGCGCCGGGAUCACUGUGACCUUCACCUUCAUUCCACACACAACAUCUCACCGGGAACCGUCAUCUGUUGGUGCAGUGGCUUAAAUCAGAGACGCGAUCAGAGACAUUGCACACCUUCGAGCAGGCUCGUCGUGAAACAAACAAUUUUAGAGCAAGUGGACAUCAUGGUGGCAAAUCCACACUGUCUGCACGUGCAGACCCAGUCAAAUUAGCUAGUCUGUUGCGGAUGGUUUACAGUCACAGAACACCAACAGUUGGAACACUAAACUGUCAAAUAUGCAACACCCAUGUGAAGUUAAAAAUACCGGAUCCUGGCUUUACGGAUCUGCUGCAGUGAUGAAUGAGUGAGUUUAGUUUUACGCCGCUUUUAGCAAUUAUCUAGCAAUAUCACGGCGGGAACACCAGAAAAAGGGCUUCACACAUUGUACCCAUAUAGAGAAUCGAACCCAGGUCUUCUGCGUGACGAGCAAACACUUGAACCGCUGCCCCCGCAGCAAUGAAUUUAAAUUAAGAAUCACGUGAUCAGUAACACCUUUGGGAAAUCGAUGUUGCCCUCCAUUACAAACUGACCUAUUAACUGUGUUUGUUUCUUAUUGCUGUUCUUCCUUGGUAAUUUCUCCACCCGAUGUUGGCAAAGUAUCCGCAGUAAUCUUAUACCAGUGAGUCUUAGCUGACAGUCGUCUUAUCAUGUGAUAACGUUUUUGUAUGUAUAGGUUAAAGCCCUAAAUGCCUUUCAUUUGAUAAUAUGUUGCACGAAUGACAUCGUCACGUUUUGCUAUGUCAAUUCGUUAUUACUACAACACAAUAAAGUAUAUACCUUGUCAAACCUC